UCUCAUGCCGCGAGAGCCUAGAUGCCGAUGCAGCAUGUCAGGCGUAUCGAGUCAUCACUAGUAUGCAUCCUGCUCUAUGAUGCAGACAGAGUCGUGUGAAGUUUGUGUUUCGUAGAUUCUCUGUCGACUAUUGCUAUAUCACAUUAGUGUGUGUUCGUCGCUCACGCAGGUAGUACUAAUCACAGUAAUGAUCCUCGUAGGGUGAUCUGCGGAAGGAUCAUUA
rnacentral:rRNA from 1 species